rnacentral:lncRNA from 1 species
GUAAUAAAAAGCACUUAGGGUUGAUGUGGUGGCACAUCUCAGUACCUUGGAGAUUAGCACAAUGAGAUCAGUGAGGAGGAAGGUUUCAGGGUUCAGAAGAGCCUACCCUUAGUUGAGGCACUGCUGGCAUUGAUGACUGUUGGGUGAGAGUCAGUUUUCUUUGGGGGUGUAUGCAGCUGCCCCAGGAAGCUAGGGCCUCUGGCUGGAUCUAAGGAGAACUGCAGUCAGUCACAGGCAGUUUGAUGAGGGUAGUGGGAACGGAACCAGGGUCAUCUGCAAGAGCAUCCAGCGCUGUUGAACCACCGCCUCUUCCCAUAAUACAUAAUAAUCUCACUGUUGUAGAAGGUGUGUCUGGUUGCUUUGCUCGGGUUUGAACGAGAAUGUCCCCUUAGGCUCUGGCAUUUGAGUACUUGGUCUCUUGUAGGUGCAGUCUGGGGAGGAUUAGGGGGUGUGGCCUUGCCAGAGGAAGUACGUCACUGGUGGGUGGGCUCUGAAGUUUCGCAGCUUCUGCUGCUCCUAGUUUGUACUCUCCGAUUGGUGUUUGUGGUUUGAUGCCUCGGCUUUCAGUUCGUCAUUCCUGGUGCCAAGCCUGUCCGCUGCCAUGCUUCCCGGCCUUGAUGGUGAUGGGCUGCUAUCCGUCUGGAAUUGGAAGCCAAGAUGAUUGCCUUGGUCACGGUGUUUUGUCACAGCAAUAGGAAAGUAAACACAACUAGGCUGCACCUUCAUUCAGCAAGAGACUUUGGGUCCUUUUCCAAGUCCACGGGGUUGUGCUAGAAUCCAUUUGUCCGUUGUGAAACUGAGUCCCUUCUUGCCGGCUUGUUUCCCGACGACCACGCAGUGAGCACCAGCAUUUCUUACAUUGUCUCCCGUCUGCGGUGUAUGGAACAGAAAGACUCCCUAUCUAAUCCUUACUAGGCUCCUGUUCUCUAGGACCAGCUCUGUCUCUAUUAUCGGCUCACGAUUAGGCGAGACUCCCCUUUAUAAGGAUAACUGCCAUGAAAAGAUUCCUUUAAAAGAAAGAAUUUUAUUACUUUCUUUACUCUGUCUGGACAUGUGUGGGCAUACAUUUGGAGUUCAGAGGACAGUUAUCGGAACCAUCUUACCCCCAUCUUUUUGUGAGUUCUACGGAUGAAACUUAAGUUCAAGGUUGUGGCAAGUAUCAUCUGCUCUUCUGUGAGAGUUGAGGCUUGUUGGUCACAUCGACAGCACUAGGUAUGUAUAGACGUGCAGCUAAUUCUUGAGUGAGUGCUUAGGCUCUGACCAGAGACUUUAAAGAAAGUGGUUUCCCGGGGCUGGAGAGAUGGCUCAGUGGUUAAGAGCAGUGACUGCUCUUCCAAAGGUCCCGAGUUCAAAUCCCAGCAACCACAUGGUGGUUCACAACCAUCCUUAAUGAAAUCUGAUGCCCUCUUCUGGAGUAUCUG